AUUUGCACCAAAAUCAUCUGACUCCCAAGCCUCUUCUCUUAACUGCUAUGAUAUGUAGCCCCCGCCGUGUCCCCCCUCACCUAGUGGUCACAGUCCAGGUCCUUGGAGUCAAGACCAAACCUGAAUCUGAAGCCUAACUAAGCACUUAGUACUAAGGAGUUUAGACUGCUUCCCAAGCUUCAUCAAACACUGCAAUGGUCUUUCAAAACUCUCCUAGCCAUGAAAAAGGAUAUGAAAUAAUUGUAUCAAUGCUCUGCCAAGUACAUUUAAAUAUUUUGUUAUUGGUUGAAACAAAAUGCAAAUCUUGUGGGCCUCAUCCAAUGUGUUCAAAUGCAAAGAAAGAUACCAAGAAGGUCUCUCCCACACUGAAGAGGGAGGAUGGUGCCACGACUUCUAGGUGGUGGGAAGACCCAGCUCCAGCGUGGGCUUCCACUCUUCUUCCCAGGAAAGAAUUGAAGGCAUAAAGAAAAUAGGUUGUUAAAUAUUUCAAAGUACAGAAAGGUGAAAGGAAUUCUGUAAAGAACACCCAUAUGCCUACUACUCAGCUAAAGAAAUGAAUCAUCACAAGUAUGGUUGAAGCCCCUGUAUACACCCUAUUCUGUUUUCCCAUACCCUAUCUUUCUCCCUUCUUCCAGAUACAAGUUUUUUUAUUUUAUUUUAUAUACAUUAAUGGGUCCCUAACCAAAAAAAAAAGUGUUCCUUUCAAGUUUUUAGACUACAUAAUAGAAUUCUG
rnacentral:lncRNA from 1 species